GAUUAUCUUUGUGUUGUACACAGAUAUCGGAAAAUGAUGUCCACAAGUGAAUAUCAUACUAUCUUCUUCCGUCAUAAGCAAACGAUGCACAGCAUCCGAGUCCUGAUGAACAUGAUAAGUUUCAUGUAAUACGCAGUAUCAGCCACUAAAAUAUCGUACUGAUAAUUCCUUCCAUCAUCUGCUCUGGGCUAUUAUUUUCACUUGCACCCGGAUAUCCGUUCAAAGGUGCGCCGUAAUGGUCGGCCAUUAAACAAGAAAAGAUUUUCAUAUAUUCGGGCAUAAUCUCAUCUGAAAUGUAAGUAAUUAUUCGUUACGCCAAUUAAAUACACAUUCGCAUUAUUUCGUGAGUUAUAAGUCGAAAUAACAACCUUGAUCUAUAUGUUGCAACAACAAGGACAGUACUUGAAGGCAGAACUUGACUGAGAACAAAUCGACUACGCAGAAACUCUUGUCAUUCGUAUUAUUGUAUUUAUUUGCGUCUAAGUAUCUUCCUAUCGCGUUUUGACUAGAAAAAAAUAUCAUAGUGAAAGAAAUUAUUCACAAUCUUACUAAUAUAAUCUUAUUAAUUACAAUUGUAAUGCACAGGAAAUUCACGAAUAUAGUAAUAUUUUACCGUAAAAUAGCACUAAAAAUACAUUGCGUAUAUGAUGCAGCGACAGGAUGGUGUAUGAUGAUCUAACAUCAACUUACCAGAAUAACAAUAAUCCAAGUGGAUAAUAAAUAAUAUGUAUGUGUUCAAGGAAAAUAUUCUCCAAACUCUGCAUUGUGUUACCGUGGCCCAAUUGACCAUGAACACCCCAACCCCAAGUGAACAUUCUGCCGUCUGCGGUCAGUGCUACCGAAUGAUAUUGUCCAGCUACCGCGUCAACGAUUAUCUCUUGUGCCAGUGAAGUAACUAAUUCUGGACUCGAGCACUGUAGUACCUUUCCGAGACCUAACUGCCCAAAUUGACUGGCUCCCCAAGCGUAGAUUCCGUUAUUAGUGACUGCCAAGGUGUGACAAUGUCCGCAUGAUACACUAAAGACUUCUAUGUUCAUGCUUCGGAAGAAACAUAAGGCAUGAGGCGCACCAUACCGUAGCACGCACGAACCAAGACCUAGUGAUUAUUAAUUAGAAAAAUUAAACGGUCGAGAAAAGAAAUAUAAAAUCAGAUAAGAGAAGGAAAGAUAAAAAAGAAGAUUAUGCAUACCUAAGCAACCUUGCACCGAACUACCCCAAGUAUAGAUAUUAGUAUUUCUAAUUAGAGCAACAUGAGAAAAUCCAGUGCUUAGUAUUCUCUUCUUAAAAUUAACAUGCGGUGCCAUCUCCAAGUGUUCCUAUUUAAAAGAUAUAAUAUUAUAAUUAUAGACAUAAUAAAUGCAAUCAAAUAUUUCACUUGGUAUCGCCACUUUAUAUCAUAAUGAAAUGGAGAAAACUAUUUUGAAUUUUGUAAUUUCUCGAAAAGAAAAAUUUUGUUCUACUAUACCAAAUAAGAAAAUUGAAGUAUUACCUUACUUAUCUUUGGUAAUUCUCUAUCAUAUAAAAAAAUGGGUUUAUAGUUCGGAUUUAAUACCCGCUUCUUAUGAAUAAGUGUCAAUAGAACUAAUGUAAACGUUUCUAUUAUCUCCUCUAUAAGCGUAUCCGGUUGAUCCUACAAAAUCGUUUCUCGUUAUCAAUAAGAAUGUGUAUAUAUAUAUAUGUAUAUAAAAUAUAUAUGUCUGUAAUAAUCGUAUUUACAGUAUUUUUAAAUUCUCAAUUCUUCAACUAUUUCCAGUUUUUUUUUGACAAUUUUUAUUCAAGGAUACAUGUUGCACCCCAGUAACUUACUACUUACAAUAUUAUCCGUAACGUCUAUAAAAUCACAUUGACUAGAUAGUCGACUAUAAGAUGUCGCUCUAUGGCGUUCUUUACAUUUCAUUAGUCUAGCUCGUAAUACUGGACUCGUUGGAUCGUACAGUGUUACUAAUCUCUGUAAAAUAUAUCAACGUGUCAAGUAUGAUGUUUUGUGCAAUUUGCGAAAUCGCUUGGAGCUUAAUUCUAAUGUGAAAUUAUAUAUUGACAAGAGCGCAGAUUUUUCAAAAGCAGUCGAGAGUUAAGAUUUCUUACCUGAAGCACAAAAAUUUGAGAAUCCCGCAGAUUAUUACGUACGAACGACAUGUGAGAUCUAGCUAAAUCAUGGUUCAAUAACAUCGCUUGCAUUAGACCAGAUUCACUUAAACAUAUGAGUAAACCAUCUAAAAUAGAAGUUUGUAUUAAAUUCUGUGCAUUAAUAUUACUUAAUUGCUUGUAACUGCCUGAGAAAUAUGCAUUCAUACGUGUAUGCGGCUAUGUAUAUGUACACAUUACAUGAUUUUGAGUGAAAGUCGUUCGUGCCAAACGUUUGCACCGCUUUUAUAAGAAUAUCCAACAUCUGGCCAUAUAGACAUCUCUGCGUAGCUAAAUGAUGCAGCACUUCCCAGAGAUAAGUUUGACCAGCUACAUUAAUAGCUAGCAACUCAUCGUAAAACGUAUUCGUGGAUAAAAAGUAUCUAUGACAAGAUUAAAAUGGAGUAUCAGCAAGAUAAAAUAUUGCUCGGACCAAACCCUUAGAGUCAUCUCGAUAAACGCAAGUACACAUAAAUUGGACAAAUGUAUCCUAGUGGCAAUAUGCAUUUCGAUAAUAGCUGGUGUUAAUAAACAGUGAGUAAGACAACUCAAUAGUUCUGAAGUAUGACCAACUGAUGCGAACUUUAAAACACUUUUCAAUAAUUUACACUGAAAUAAAGAUAAUAAAGAAAAAAUUAGUACUGAUCACAA